UUUUGCAUAGUUUACGACAAACAUCACACUUUCACUGUGGAGACAGGCUAUCCCUUGUAAUAC
rnacentral:tRNA from 1 species